GAAAAAUAAAAUGAAAAGUUUUGUUGAGAGAGAGAGCUCUUUGAAGCCGAUACAAGGAACGACAUAGAGGGAAGAAGCCGGCCGGAAGGGGAACGACAGAGAGAGAGAGACGAAAGAAACGUACUCACGGCGAAGAGACUCAGCAAAGAAGAAAACAGUCUCCCUUCAACCAGGAUACAAACAAAAAAGUUACUCUGCCAAGAGAAAUUCGCAGUGUUCAACAGCUUGACCUUAUUGCAUUGUAAAAUGACACAAAAUGCGUCAGUGGCAGGGAUUACAGACGAUGCUCUUUUCUAAUUGGCACUAUUGAGUGACCUAAUGUGCAGAGUCUCACAUAACUUAGUCAAAUUGUUGAUCAGAUUCAUUUGCAUGUUCCAUCUUACAUUGGUUCUUAUUGCAACAGGAUGCUACUGAAUGAUAAUUUUGGCCCAAGAGGAUGAGUUUUGGGGUGUUGAAUUCAUAUUUUGAACCUUGGGAGCAAAUCUGGAAAACCCAAAAUUUUGCUUUCACGCUCAAGCGAAGGAUUCCAGGCUCGAGCGACCACCUUUAUUUUCGCACUUCCACUCGAGCGACAAAAGGUUGGCUCGAGCGUAAAUUGCAUACUCUCAGAAGUUUGCGUGUUUGGAAGCACGCUCGAGCGACAAGACUUGCGCUCGAGCGAGGACUUGUGUCUCACACUCGAGCGAUCGUCGAGCGGAAAUUGCACGUAACCAGAAUUUUUUCACAUUUUACAGACCGCUCAAGCGAAGUGUGUGCUCGAGCGACCACUCACAUUCGAUAGGUUUGCUCAAGCGAAGAAAGCUGCACUCAAGCGAGACCCCUGUUUUCAGCAAGUCUUUGAAAAAUAUUUUCAAGUGCAAUUUUGUAACCUUAUUCCAUCCUAGGCAUUCCUAGGCCAUGAUUAAGACAUCAUAAUGGGGUUAAAGGCUAGAAACACACGAAUAAGCUUUGUUCAAUUCGAGCGUGUGUAUUCAACGUAUGUAUCUAUCAUGUU